rnacentral:rRNA from 1 species
CUGCUUCGGCGGUACACGCGACGCUCCGCUUUGGUGACUCUGGAUAACUCACUGGUCGAUCGCACGGGUCUCGCACCCGGCGACGGGUCCCUCGAGGGUCCGCCCUAUCA